AGAGUUUGAUCAUGGCUCAGGACGAACGCUGGCGGCGUGCUUAACACAUGCAAGUCGAGCGGAAAGGCCCUUCGGGGUACUCGAGCGGCGAACGGGUGAGUAACACGUGAGCAACCUGCCCCUGGCUCUGGGAUAGCUCCCGGAAACGGGGAUUAAUACCGGAUAUGACUGCCCGCCGCAUGGCGGGUGGUGGAAAGUUU
rnacentral:rRNA from 1 species